CACCCCCAAACAUAAACCUAGCCGCUCUCUACUCUCAGUCUCUCAGUCUCUCAAUUUCACUCUCUGCACUCACUCUCAGUCUCACUCGAAGAAACCCAAGGCCGGCGGCGAACCCAUCUUCUGCAGCACCUCCCCAGCCGGCGAACCCCUUCCUCCCACCACCUCGUAGCGUCGUCGAAGCCUUUCUCCCAGCGCCGCCGGACCUUUCUUCCCAGCCCCUCCUCGCGGACAGCACCACCCAACCCCAGCCAGCACCACCCUCACGGUCGUAGACACUACACCACCCAGCAGUCCAGCACCAUCCAGCGGCACCCCGGCGCCACCAACAGGACCGAUCUGGCCACCUGCAACACCGUUUGUGGCCACCCAUAGCAGUACUGCUGCGUUUCUGGCCUGGCCACCCACAACACAGCAGCCACUGGUUGGCCUUCUUCCAGUGCUCUUCCUCGUUCCCAUCCACUUGAGUUCAGGUUGGUUUGCAUUAAGAAGUUUAGCUAUUUUGUUGGAGAAGGCACCAUAACUUUGCUAUCAGUUUAAUGACAAUUCAUUUUUAUUUUCAGUUGUCUUGACUGUUGAACUAUUGAACUUCUUUAAUUGUCGUAUUUGAAUUCUGUUGUCGUUAAAUUUCAUUAGAUCAAGACUUUGUUAGAUAUUGUGUAUUUCGGUUUGUCAAUUUCAAUGUUAUGACUUUGCAUAAUAGUAUGGUAGAAUUUUUUUUUA